rnacentral:rRNA from 1 species
UACGUAGGGUGCAAGCGUUAUCCGGAAUUAUUGGGCGUAAAGAGCUCGUAGGCGGUUUGUCGCGUCUGCUGUGAAAACCCGAGGCUCAACCUCGGGCCUGCAGUGGGUACGGGCAGACUAGAGUGCGGUAGGGGAGAUUGGAAUUCCUGGUGUAGCGGUGGAAUGCGCAGAUAUCAGGAGGAACACCAAUUGCGAAGGCAGCUCGCUGGGACGUAACUGACGCUGAGACGCGAAAGCGUGGGGAGCAAACAGG